ensembl:lncRNA
CUUUAAUGUUGUUAUUCAAGUGUGAUAGAAUUUAGACUGGCAUUUCUAUUAUGCCCAUCAGAAAAUACAAUAAUAACAAUAAUAGGUAGAUGUAGAUUAUUACAUCCAAGGGAGUGAUUACAUAGGAUGCAAUGAUAGUCCUGAAAGUUAUUAUCAGCGCAAGUUAUCAUAGUGUAUUGGAGGGUAAUGGAGGUCACAGCUCAGAGGAAAAAUAUAUACCUCAGUUUGUUUGUGUAGGAUUGCAUUAGUCUGUAUCGUUUGCCUGAUGCAAAAGUUCAAAUAUAAGGUGACUGGUGUAUGAAGUGUCUGAAAUGAUGCUAUUUUUCUUGUCCUGAGACGACUGAUGUAGACAUCCUCAAGAUGGGACCUCCAAUCUUACCGCACGCUGUGCAAUCUUCACCAUAUGGUGUAGAUCCUUCUACUCGGCAGCUGUGCAGCUUCUGUAUCACAACGUGAUGCCGUUUGUGAGGAAGUUUACUCACAUUUUAACAUCGUAAACUGAUAUUUAUUAGUAACCACUUUGUUAGCUCAGCAUUUUUAGGAUAUCUCAGACUUCAGCUAAGAAUUGUGCAAAAUUCAAAUUCUAAUAAUUCAUAUCUUUUAAAGUCUAAGGUUUUACAUAAAAAAUAGCUACUUCUUACCAGGUCUUAAUAUUAGGUAACUACAGCCUCACAUGAAGAAGAACACAUAACAUAUUACAUUGUGUCAUUUCUUAUUUAAUAAACUUUUUUUUUGUUUGUUGCCUGUCCCGUUUGGAUCUUUAACCAUCAGAAUUGUUGUCUGAAGGCCAAGAAAGAUGCCAAGCGGAUUUACUUUACCAGUUGGAUCAUCAUGGCCUUACCAUAUUGGUCCAUUUGAUUGACCUUUAAUAUAAUUAUGUAUUUAUUUGAUUUUAUUUUCGGCUGUUACAGACAGGACAGACAUGAUUGGGGGACAGGACAGGGAGGAAGAAUGAACGAAAGAGCGGGAGAGAAAGAAAAAUAGAGGGGAGAAGAGAUGGUGAGAAGGGGGAAGAAAAAAAAAAGGAAAACAAACAAAACACCUGGAUCACCUGUAUGGAGAUAAGAAAAAAAAAAAAACAGAAGAGAAAACAAACAAAAAAGAGCAACAUAACAAAUACAACACCAUCACAAUUACCACACAAAUUAGCUAACAGUAGAUACCAAAUAUUACAUGUUAUUGUGCAGCACACAAGAUCGACAGCGCACAAUGUGCUUUUAGGUAGCAGCCAAGAAAGGUGUAGUUUGUGUCUGUGAACACCUGUGUGUACACCUGUGUGCUCACCCAUGUGUACACCUGUGUGCAUCAGCACGCUUGUAUUCAAAAGGUUUCUCCAUGUAACAAUUUGUUAGGGUUCAGAAACAACCUUGAAAACCUUUCUGCUAUUUUCCGCUUGGAAGGACGAGACUUUCUCAUGAAACCCCUCCAAUCAAACCAUACUUGAUC